UGGCUCAGUGGUAGAGCGCUUGCCUUGCAAGCAAGAGGCCCUGGGUUCUAUUCCUCAG
rnacentral:tRNA from 1 species